rnacentral:rRNA from 1 species
UACAGAGGUCCCAAGCGUUGUCCGGAAUCAUUGGGCGUAAAGAGCGUGUAGGCGGCUUGGAAAGUCUUACGUGAAAGCCUGCGGCUCAACCGCAGAAGUGCGUAGGAAACUUCCUCGCUAGAGUCCGGAAGAGGAGAGCGGAAUCCGUGGUGUAGCGGCGGAAUGCGCAGAGUAUACAGGAGGAACAGCCCGUGGCGAAGGCGGCUCUCUGGGACGGUACUGACGCUGAGACGCGAAAGCGUGGGGAGCAAACAGG